rnacentral:rRNA from 1 species
AGUGAACGCUGGCGGGAGGCAGAACACAUGCAAGUCGAACGGCAGCACAGUAAGAGCUUGCUCUUACGGGUGGCGAGUGGCGGACGGGUGAGGAAUACAUCGGAAUCUACUUUUUCGUGGGGGAUAACGUAGGGAAACUUACGCUAAUACCGCAUACGACCUACGGGUGAAAGCAGGGGAUCUUCGGACCUUGCGCGAUUGAAUGAGCCGAUGUCGGAUUAGCUAGUUGGCGGGGUAAAGGCCCACCAAGGCGACGAUCCGUAGCUGGUCUGAGAGGAUGAUCAGCCACACUGGAACUGAGACACGGUCCAGACUCCUACGGGAGGCAGCAGUGGGGAAUAUUGGACAAUGGGCGCAAGCCUGAUCCAGCCAUACCGCGUGGGUGAAGAAGGCCUUCGGGUUGUAAAGCCCUUUUGUUGGGAAAGAAAAGCAGCAGGUUAAUACCCCGCUGUUCUGACGGUACCCAAAGAAUAAGCACCGGCUAACUUCGUG